CACACACACACACACACACACACACAGGUCAGGUCUGACACACAAACACACACAGGUCAGGUCACAGGUCACACACACACACACACACACACACACACACACACACACAGGUCAGGUCUGACACACACACACACACAGGUCAGGUCACAGGUCACACACACACACACACACACACACACACACACACACACACACACACACAGGUCAGGUCUGACACACACACACACACAGGUCAGGUCACAGGUCACAGGUCACACACACACACACACACACACACACACACACACACACACACACACACA